UACGUAGGGGGCAAGCGUUGUCCGGAAUCAUUGGGCGUAAAGAGCGUGUAGGCGGCCUGGUAAGUCCGCUGUGAAAGUCCAGGGCUCAACCCUGGAAUGCCGCUGGAAACUGUCUGGCUUGAGUCCGGAAGGGGCGAGUGGAAUUCCUGGUGUAGCGGUGAAAUGCGCAGAUAUCAGGAGGAACACCAAUGGCGAAGGCAGCUCGCUGGAACGGUACUGACGCUGAGGCGCGAAAGCGUGGGGAGCGAACAGG
rnacentral:rRNA from 1 species